rnacentral:rRNA from 1 species
UACAGAGGGUGCGAGCGUUGUCCGGAAUCACUGGGCGUAAAGGGCGCGUAGGCGGCCUGCUAAGUAGAGGGUGAAAUCCUGCGGCUCAACCGCAGGGCUGCCUUCUAAACUGUCAGGCUGGAGCACGGUAGAGGCAGAUGGAAUUCCCGGUGUAGCGGUGGAAUGCGUAGAGAUCGGGAAGGACACCAGUGGCGAAGGCGGUCUGCUGGGCCGUUGCUGACGCUGAGGCGCGACAGCGUGGGGAGCAAACAGG